rnacentral:rRNA from 1 species
AUACGGAGGGUGCAAGCGUUACUCGGAAUCACUGGGCGUAAAGCGCGCGCAGGCGGUCUUUUAAGUUGGAUGUGAAAGCCUACGGCUCAACCGUAGAACUGCAUCCAAAACUAUUAGACUAGAGUGUGAGAGAGGAAGAUGGAAUUAGUUGUGUAGGGGUAAAAUCCGUAGAGAUAACUAGGAAUACCAAAAGCGAAGGCAAUCUUCUGGAACACUACUGACGCUGAGGCGCGAAAGCGUGGGGAGCAAACAGGAUUAGAUACCCUAGUAGUCC